UAAGGAAUAUUGGUCAAUGGACGCAAGUCUGAACCAGCCAUGCCGCGUGGAGGAUUAAGGCCCUCUGGGUUGUAAACUCCUUUUAUCUGGGAAGAAAUGUACUUUUUCUUGAGUACUUGACGGUACCAGAGGAAUAAGCACCGGCUAACUCCGUGCCAGCAGCCGCGGUAAUACGGAGGGUGCAAGCGUUAUCCGGAUUCACUGGGUUUAAAGGGUGCGUAGGUGGGCAGGUAAGUCAGUGGUGAAAUCUCCGGGCUUAACCCGGAAACUGCCGUUGAUACUAUUCGUCUUGAAUAUUGUGGAGGUAAGCGGAAUAUGUCAUGUAGCGGUGAAAUGCUUAGAUAUGACAUAGAACACCAAUUGCGAAGGCAGCUUACUACACAAUCAUUGACGCUGAGGCACGAAAGCGUGGGGAUCAAACA
rnacentral:rRNA from 1 species